AUUUACUCGUGUUUAUCAGCAAAAGCAAAUGUGAGAACAGCAAUUCUCUCCCUCUUCGUCUUGUAUUCACACAAUCACUCUUUAUCUGGCAAAAUCGAUUCUCUCGUUGCUGUGUGCCCUAGCUUCAGUUCAAAGGAAUUAUUAUGAAUAUUUUAGGUUUGAAUGUCACUCGGAUUACUCGGUUUGGAAACAGGUUGAGGUUGAUUGGGUUAGGACCAGGGGAAAGUCAGUUAGAACCAUCAGAGUGCAUACGCCCGUUUGUUCUUAGGUGUAAUCCAGUUGUGAUGGGAUUGGUGGAUUCAAGACGUUCAAGGCUCACCGAGGAAAAGGUCAAAGGAUGUUUGAAGAAGGAAGACAAUUUAAGCUGGGUAGAUGUUCCAAAAUCAUUUUUCAAAGACAAGAAAAGUGGGGGAAUCAUGUUUGCGUGGAAUGAAAUUUUACGAUAUCAAAAACUUUACCAAAUAAGAGAUGGCUCUUGGUUGAAGGUAAUCUGAUAAAAGAACGUAUUGAUGUGUCUUUUCUUUUGGUUUCUGAACCAAGUUGUCGUAAAGAGAGAGAUAAUUUACGGAGUGAUUUGGUGAACUUAAGGAAGACAAUUUCAAAUCCUUUGGUGGUGAUGGGUAAGUUUUAUGAUGGUGUGCCAACCGAUCUAAAAGAUGCCGAUUUUGAGUAUUUUUUAGAUCAUAAAUUUUCAAAGCAUUUUAAGGUUCUAAAAACGUUGGGAUCAAGGAGAGUCCUCUCAGGUCAGCGCCCUUUCGUACUUCAUUGUGAUGAACAAGAUGAUAUUUGAUAUGGUGGAACUUAGAAGUGAAGAUGAGCACCCACAUAUGUAGAAGUAUGAUUUUGAUUACUUUUAGAUCUUUAUUUUGUCAUUUUGCUAGGAUGUCCUUUUGAUUACAUUUAGAACUUAUUUUGAUGGGAAAUGGCAAAGUUGAAAGUUGAUUAUAAUUAUUCCGUA